rfam:Gossypium hirsutum cultivar TM-1 chromosome 8, whole genome shotgun sequence
AACCCAUGGUGAGGGCACCUUCUCAAUAAAUCCUUGUAUCUCUCCCAUGCAUCAUAAAGUUUUUCUAAAUCCAUCUGCACAAAAGAAGAGAUAUCAUUCCUCAAUUU